rnacentral:rRNA from 1 species
GUUGAACGCUGGCGGCGUGCCUAAUACAUGCAAGUCGAGCGACAGGACGAGAAGCUUGCUUUUCUGAUGUUAGCGGCGGACGGGUGAGUAACACGUGGAUAACCUCUCUAUAAGACUGGGAUAACUUCGGGAAACCGGAGCUACUACCGGAUAAUAUUUUGAACCGCAUGGUUCCAAAGUGACAGACGGUCUUGCUGUCACUUAUAGAUGGAUUCGCGCUGCAUUAGCUAGUUGGUCAGGUAACGGCUUACCAAGGCGACGAUGCAUAGCCGACCUGAGAGGAUGAUCGGCCACACUGGAACUGAGACACGGUCCAGACUCCUACGGGAGGCAGCAGUAGGGAAUCUUCCGCAAUGGGCGAAAGCCUGACGGAGCAACGCCGCGUGUGUGAUGAAGGUCUUCGGAUCGUAAAACUCUGUUAUUAGGGAAGAACAUAUGGGUAAGUAACUGUGCACAUCUUGACGGUACCUGAUCAGAAAGCCCCGGCUAACUACGUG